rnacentral:rRNA from 1 species
CAGUCGCCACGGUAAUACGAAGGUCCCAAGCGUUGUUCGGAAUCACUGGGCGUAAAGGGAGCGUAGGCGGCGUGGUAAGUCAGAUGUGAAAUCCCGGGGCUCAACCCCGGAACUGCAUUUGAUACUGCCAUGCUUGAGGGUUGGAGAGGUAGCUGGAAUUCUUGGUGUAGCAGUGAAAUGCGUGGAUAUCAAGAGGAACACUCGUGGCGAAGGCGAGCUACUGGACAACAUCUGACGCUGAGGCUCGAAGGCCAGGGUAGCGAAAGGGAUUAGAUACCCGAGUAGUCCCUGUCUCUUAUAC